UACGAAGGGGGCUAGCGUUGCUCGGAAUCACUGGGCGUAAAGCGCACGUAGGCGGCUUUUUAAGUCAGGGGUGAAAUCCUGGAGCUCAACUCCAGAACUGCCUUUGAUACUGAGAGGCUCGAGUCCGGGAGAGGUGAGUGGAACUGCGAGUGUAGAGGUGAAAUUCGUAGAUAUUCGCAAGAACACCAGUGGCGAAGGCGGCUCACUGGCCCGGUACUGACGCUGAGACACGAAAGCCAGGGGAGCGAACGGG
rnacentral:rRNA from 1 species